UGUGGAAUUUUGGACAAUGGGCGCAAGCCUGUUCCAGCAAUGCCGCGUGCAGGAUGAAGGCCUUCGGGUUGUAAACUGCUUUUGUACGGAACGAAACGGUCUUUUCUAAUACAGAAGGCUAAUGACGGUACCGUAAGAAUAAGCACCGGCUAACUACGUGCCAGCAGCCGCGGUAAUACGUAGGGUGCGAGCGUUAAUCGGAAUUACUGGGCGUAAAGCGUGCGCAGGCGGUUAUGCAAGACAGAUGUGAAAUCCCCGGGCUCAACCUGGGAACUGCAUUUGUGACUGCAUAGCUGGAGUGCGGCAGAGGGGGAUGGAAUUCCGCGUGUAGCAGUGAAAUGCGUAGAUAUGCGGAGGAACACCGAUGGCGACGGCAAUCCCCUGGGCCUGGACUGACGCUCAUGCACGAAAGCGGGGGGAGCAAACA
rnacentral:rRNA from 1 species